AGACAACAGCAGAAGUCACCAACGGGUCUUCAAUGCAGCGAGAAAUUCCCGCACCCGGAGGCUUCCUUCAGCUGGCCCCUAAACAAAUAUAUAUACCAGUUCAGUGAUAAUGAACGCCAUACUAAACUCCAAAUUGUACACAAGAAACUAAAAUUAAAAAUAAUACAAGACUGACAAAGGCUAGAGGCUCCUGACUUGGGACAGGCGCAAAAAUGCG